rnacentral:lncRNA from 12 species
AUACAGAAACUUGGCUGCUCACCAAAGCCAAUCAGAUGCUGAAGUUACGGGCCUUUUGUUUUCAAACUGAAUAUAAGGGAUAUAUCAAGACCUCAGUAUCACAAAAUCCUCCUCAACAAUCCUGAUCACGCUCAACAGUCUUAAACAAAGACGUUAUCAUUCAACAUGAGAGCCCUCAUUUUGCUGGCAUUAGUCAUUGGAGUGGCCUACUGCGCUCCGCAAUUGAUGUAUUAUGAGCUAGAGUACAAACCUGUCCUGGCUUCACAGGUUAGUUUGGUCCAAACAUUAAAUAAAUACACAUUUAUUAUUUAAAAAGACUUAAUUAAAAUGAUUCAUAGCAUAUGAGAAUAUAUAUAGUUCAUGUAUAGUAUUAUAUAUGUCAUAUAUGAUAAUACUGCAGUUUGGAUUAUAUAAAAAGUGUGUAUGAUAUUCAGCUUUUGCGCUGCGCUGCAGCUAGUUCUGUGAGUUUAGUUGGAUUUGAAAUAAUUAUUUUACCACAGUGCUCAUUUUGUCUUAUUCUCCACAGGGUCAACCUGUCCACGGCUUCAUUAAGCAUGAGAUUCCCCAGCCCGCAGGCAAAGAAAGUGUUGAAGUUCUGUACCCAUUCAGCUUUCCUCAACCUGCUCCAGCUGCUCCAGCUGUUCCAGCUGUUCCUGCUGUUCCUGCUGCCCCUGCUGCCCCAGCCCCUGUUCCAAAGGACAAUGAUGAUGAUGAUCAUGACGACUAAACCAGAUUGAUGAACAGAUAAGCUGACCACCAAUUCUUGAACCUCAAAGAAACUGCUUGUAGUGUUUAGCAAAUUGACUGAAAUAAUGUCACAGUCAAUCAAAGGGUGCUUUCUCAGUGGCUUGAUGCAUGAGAGCCAUAAAAAUCAUAGCUUUUUUGCAACCAUGUUUUUAAAUCUUGAUUUAUAAUAAACCGUACAAUCAAUUCCUUGCCUCCUUGUGUUAUUACUAUUGCUGAACAGUUAUAAUGUUAUAAUUCUUACAAAUACAUAACAAUUCCUAGUUUGACUGAUAAUAAACAUCAUCCCAAAAAUGCU